rnacentral:rRNA from 1 species
UACAGAGGGUGCAAACGUUGUUCGGAAUUACUGGGCGUAAAGCGUGUGUAGGCGGCUAUGUAAGUCGGAUGUGAAAGCCCCGGGCUCAACCCGGGAAGUGCACUCGAUACUGCGUAGCUUGAGUACUGGAGAGGUUGGUGGAAUUCUCGGUGUAAAGGUGAAAUUCGUAGAUAUCGAGAGGAACACCGGUGGCGAAGGCGGCCAACUGGACAGAUACUGACGCUGAGACACGAAAGCGUGGGGAGCAAACAGG